AUUAGUUUAAAUUGUUUACGUCAAGUUGAUAUAAAGUCAUUAAUUGCUUAUUCUUCUGUUGCUCAUAUAGGGAUUGUUUUAGCAGGAAUUAUAAAUUUAAGAAAUUGAGGAAUUUGUGGAGGGUAUAGAUUAAUAAUUGGUCAUGGAUAGAUCGGAAGACGGUU